rnacentral:misc_RNA from 1 species
GAUGAAGAACGUAGCGAAAUGCGAUAAGUAGUGUGAAUUGCAGAAUUCAGUGAAUCAUCGAAUCUUUGAACGCACAUUGCGCCCCUUGGUAUUCCAAAGGGCAUGCCUGUUCGAGCGUCAUUUGUACCCUCAAGCUUUGCUUGGUGUUGGGCGUCUUGUCUCUAGCUUUGCUGGAGACUCGCCUUAAAGUAAUUGGCAGCCGGCCUACUGGUUUCGGAGCGCAGCACAAGUCGCACUCUCUAUCAGCAAAGGUCUAGCAUCCAUUAAGCCUUUUUUUCAACUUUUGACCUCGGAUCAGGUAGGGAUACCCGCUGAACUUAAGCAUAUCAAUAAGCGGAGA